rnacentral:rRNA from 1 species
AUGUUGGCUGAUUGGAAUGAUCUAUUUAAUAUAAUUAGUAAUGUGGUGUUGGAUGACAGGGAGGAUACUAUUCGCUGGAAUUAUGAUCCCAAGGGCAUAUACACUGUUAAAUCCUUUUAUAAUUUCAUCAAUUUCAGGGGUGUGCAACCGGGCAACAUUCCUGUUGUCUGGAAUUUUAAUGUCCCCCUAAGGAUUCAGAUUUUUCUCUGGCUUUUGGUUAAAAACAAAUUAUUGACUAGAGACAACCUGCAGAAAAGACAACAUGUAGAAGAUCCGACCUGUCUUUUCUGUAGUGAACCUAAAUCUGUAGAUCAUUUAUUUUUUGAUUGUGUCAUUUUGAUAGAGCUCUGGAGAGUGGGUUUUUGA